AGGAGGGGGAGGAGGGGGAGGGGACGAAUGGACUACGGUGGUCUUGGGGGGUUUGGGAGGGAGGGAGAUGGUGGCGGCGGCGGCGGCGGCGGCGGAGGAGGAGGAUUUGGAGGAGACGGCGGCGGCGGCGGGGAGGCGGAGGGUUCUUGGUGGGUGGAGAGACGGCGAGGGGAGAUCAUGGGGAGGGAGGGGGAAGUGAUGGGGAUGAUUGAAAUGGAGGGAGAGUGGGUCUUGCAUGAUGCUACAUGGCUUGGGGAGGAGGGGGAAUGACGAAGAGGAAGCGAGCUGACGGUGGCUUUUGUGUUUUUGGUGGAUGUGAGGAUAAGAGGAUGGAGAAUUUCCUGACUCUGCAGAUUGCUUGUGAUAAUGCAAUGACAAAGGAGAGUCCCGGAAGAUGAGAGAGACACACACACACACACACAG
rnacentral:lncRNA from 1 species